ensembl:snRNA U1 U1 spliceosomal RNA
AAACUCACGCCAUAGGGGAGAUACCAUGAUCACGAAGGUGGUUUUCCCAGGGCGAGGCUUAUCCAUUGCACUCCGGAUGUGCUGACCCCUGCGAUUUCCCCAAAUGUGGGAAACUCGACUGCAUAAUUUGUGGUAGUGGGGGACUGCGUUCGCGCUUUCCCCUG